AUGACUAUCUCUUCAGGUGUUGUGCACCCCCUGGAUGUCUCCUCUUCCUCGUGCGCUGUGCACAUCGCAGCUGUUAGUUUAACCAGAGCCCCUGAGCUGAGCGUGCAGCAGCUGCUUGCAGUGCCUGGGGAGCAGUGGCAAUGCCAGGGACAGCGGUGCAGACCGUUCUUGACCCGGCAAGAGGUCUACAACUACACAGAGCCCAGCGUAGGCGUGGGGCUGAGCAGACAGAGCCCUUUGUUCCUUGGGCUGAUGAGCAGAUGGAGACCAGCUCUGACCUCAAGUUCAGGAUGCCCAGGGGUUUCACGAGCACCCAAGGACAAAGGCUGGCAAGCGAUGAAAGGGCUCCUGCUCUCGUUUACUGCACCCGUGUCCACAGAAUUACGUCGGUGAGGAUGGGGGCUGCUGUCAUCGGAUGAGCUGGAUUGAGAUGUUUUGGGGCUGUUUCUCUGGGAGCAGCAGAAUUUUCCAUC
rnacentral:lncRNA from 1 species